AUUGAACGCUGGCGGCAGGCCUAACACAUGCAAGUCGAGCGGGGUUUUCGGACCUAGCGGCGGACGGGUGAGUAAUGCGUAGGAAGCUACCCGAUAGAGGGGGAUACCAGUUGGAAACGACUGUUAAUACCGCAUAAUGUCUACGGACCAAAGUGUGGGACCUUCGGGCCACAUGCUAUCGGAUGCGCCUACGUGGGAUUAGCUAGUUGGUGAGGUAAUGGCUCACCAAGGCGACGAUCCCUAGCUGGUUUGAGAGGAUGAUCAGCCACACUGAACUGAGACACGGUCCAGACUCCUACGGGAGGCAGCAGUGGGGAAUAUUGGACAAUGGGCGCAAGCCUGAUCCAGCCAUGCCGCGUGUGUGAAGAAGGCCUUCGGGUUGUAAAGCACUUUCAGUAGGGAGGAAGCGUUGUGUGUUAAUAGUACACAGCGUUGACGUUACCUACAGAAGAAGCACCGGCUAACUCUGUGCCAGCCGCCGCAGUAAAAC
rnacentral:rRNA from 1 species